CCAGCGGAGGGAUCAUUACCGAGUUUACAACUCCCAAACCCAAUGUGAACCAUACCAAACUGUUGCCUCGGCGGGGUCACGCCCCGGGUGCGUCGCAGCCCCGGAACCAGGCGCCCGCCGGAGGGACCAACCAAACUCUUUUCUGUAGUCCCCUCGCGGACGUUAUUUCUUACAGCUCUGAGCAAAAAUUCAAAAUGAAUCAAAACUUUCAACAACGGAUCUCUUGGUUCUGGCAUCGAUGAAGAACGCAGCGAAAUGCGAUAAGUAAUGUGAAUUGCAGAAUUCAGUGAAUCAUCGAAUCUUUGAACGCACAUUGCGCCCGCCAGUAUUCUGGCGGGCAUGCCUGUCCGAGCGUCAUUUCAACCCUCGAACCCCUCCGGGGGGUCGGCGUUGGGGACCUCGGGAGCCCCUAAGACGGGAUCCCGGCCCCGAAAUACAGUGGCGGUCUCGCCGCAGCCUCUCCUGCGCAGUAGUUUGCACAACUCGCACCGGGAGCGCGGCGCGUCCACGUCCGUAAAACACCCAACUUCUGAAAUGUGACCUCGGAUCAGGUAGAAGCCCG
rnacentral:rRNA from 1 species